CUUUGUGCUCACGUGGCUGCCUAUUUUCCACUAACCUGAAGCAGCUGACUUGGUCAAACGUUGGAAUGGAAGGCUCAAUUACAUCAUUUACAUUGCGAUACCUUGCCUGGUUGGAUCAAGAUCCUCCAAAAGGAUUUAUAUGCUCUUAAUUGGUGUCCAAUAUAAGGUGCUGCUUUCCUAUAACUAAAUUCAUGGGCCCAAGAAUCAAUUAUAGAAACAGGAGUGGCAUCCCUACUGAGCAACCAGCAAAACUUUUGCUUUUGGUCCCUGUGACCUUAUUCUCUGCUGGCCUAGAAGAUUUUUUCCAAAUGGGAAAAUUCUUCCACAGGACACACAACAGUGAUUCCAUUGAACCAGAAGUUAAGACUUCCACCAAGCCCUUUGGACCUCUUCAUGCCUCUGAAUCAGUAGGCAAAGAGGGGAAUUUUUGUACUAGCUGGAGUUGUUGAUCCUAGCUGCUACUCCACAAUGGAGCUAAAGGAGAAUGUGUGGGGAAUACCCUACCCAUAAAGCAUGUCUUACCAUUACCAUGUCCUGUGAUUCAGAUCAAUGGAAAACUACAACAACCCAAUAUAGAAAGGACUACUAAUGCCCCAUCACCUUCAGGAAUGAAGAUUUAGGUUGUCCUACCAAUGACAGACCCAUGACUAGCUGAGAUAAUUAUUGACAAAAAAAGGAAUUUAUUUAUUUAUUUAUUUUUGGUACCAGGGAUCAAACUCGGGACCUUGUGCUCACAAGGCAGGUGGCAGCACCACUGAGCUAAAUCACUGGGAUGAAAAAAGGAAUUUUAGAAUAGAUAGUAGAAGAAGUUUCUAGGUGAAACCAUCUCCUCCAGUUUCAGACACUUAUGGGUCAUUGUCAUCAUCACCACAUUUGCACUGAAGAGCCGUCAACACUCUAUUUUCAAGCACAUGAGCUUUUAAGAAGCCUGUGUCCCCAGAUAAAUCUGAAAGAGAACUUGGUAACUAUGAUAUCGAUUGGGAUAUGAUGAGUUCACAGUAUUUCAACUUCUUCCACAGUUAUUUCACAAAAACAGGAAAAAUGCUGUGUUGGAGCAUUUGAAAAAACAUUAAUCUUGAUGACUAGACUUCAACAUAAGCUUGGAAUUCUUCUUAACAUCCCAUGUGUCCAAAAUCAACAGAUGGAGUUCAAAACUCUUUAAUAUGACAGCCAAAGAUGAGAUAUAUUGAUGCU
rnacentral:lncRNA from 1 species